CUCGACGCUCUUCCGAUUUGUCGCUUAUAAAACUAUAUCUCGGUUUCAACUUGGUACACGUACAACGUCGUAUACUGAGACUAUAUACGAUACCGUAUAUGCGGGGCUUAAAACCGUUCACAAUAAUUACAUGCUACGUAUAAUAUAUGUGCG
rnacentral:lncRNA from 1 species